GUGAAUCAUCGAAUUUUUGAACGCAAAUUGCACUCUCUGGUAUUCCGGAGAGUAUGCCUGUUUGAGGGUCAGUUUACAUACAAAUCGGUCUGGUUGCUGCCUUUCGUGGUGACGCUCCGGUUUUGGGUCUUCUUGCCUUCGGUUACGUGUCCUAAAAUCUUGCAUGAUUUUUUCUAACGUAUUUAACUUAUUUUACGUACUUUUCCGCUAUCGAAUACUCGGUGUGGUCAUCCUCAUGAUUCGUCCCUAUAA
rnacentral:misc_RNA from 1 species